GAUGAACGCUAGCGAUAGGCUUAACACAUGCAAGUCGAGGGGCAGCAUGGUCUUAGCUUGCUAAGACUGAUGGCGACCGGCGCACGGGUGCGUAACGCGUAUGCAACUUGCCUCACAGAGGGGGAUAACCCGUCGAAAGACGGACUAAUACCGCGUACACUUGGGAUAGGGCAUCCUGACCCAAGGAAAUGAAAUUCGCUGUGAGAUAGGCAUGCGUCCCAUUAGCUAGUUGGUGAGGUAACGGCUCACCAAGGCGACGAUGGGUAGGGGAACUGAGAGGUUGAACCCCCACACUGGUACUGAGACACGGACCAGACUCCUACGGGAGGCAGCAGUGAGGAAUAUUGGUCAAUGGGCGAGAGCCUGAACCAACCAAGUCGCGUGAAGGAUGACUGUCUUAUGGAUUGUAAACUUCUUUUAUACGGGAAUAACAAGAGCCACGUGUGGCUCCCUGCAUGUACCGUAUGAAUAAGCAUCGGCUAACUCCGUG
rnacentral:rRNA from 1 species